rnacentral:tRNA from 1 species
UCAGCGGUGGUUCAGUGGUAGGAUUUCUGCCUUCCAUGCAGGAGACCUGGGUUCAGUUCCCAGCCAAUGCG